rnacentral:rRNA from 1 species
UACGUAGGAGGCGAGCGUUUGUCCGGAAUCACUGGGUGUAAAGCGCGUGUAGGCGGCCUGCCAAGUCUGCUGUGAAAGCGCCUGGCUUAACCGGGCGAGGUCGGUGGAAACUGGCGGGCUGGAGGACGGUAGAGGGGGGUGGAAGUUCCUGGUGUAGCGGUGAAAUGCGCAGAUAUCAGGAGGAACACCGAUGGCGAAGGCAGGUCUCUGGGCCACUACUGACGCUGAGAAGCGAAAGCAUGGGGAGCGAAACAGG